CUUUGUGUCCUCUCUCAUGGAAACUUGUUGAAAACACAAAAACCCCAACUCAGAGCUGACAAACAAACAACACAGAGCUCCGUCAUGAAUUUCCCUCGUCCACCGCCCGUCCCCGGCUUAAUCCGCCGGCCAGUCGGUCCCUCACCACCACCUCCAUCACCAGAUCCACCUCAAUUCCUCUCUCCAUCAAAUCAUCACCUCCCUUCUUCUUCAAACGGAGUCGUCGUCGUAGGCUUCCUCUCACGAAGACCAGACGAUUCAUCACACCUUAUAAACCAAGUUCUUGACAACAACGUCUUCGGUUCUGGAAAAUUGAACAAGAUCCUUACCGUUGAUAAACCGGAUUUUCAAGAUUGGUUUAGGUUCCGGAAGAUUUGUUAUUACCACGAAGAAGAUAAAGGAAUCGUCUUUGUGCAAUUCUCACCUAUCAUUUGCCCUGCUUUAUCGAGUUCUUCUGACUCGGGUUUUGAUUCUGUUUUGGAGGAACGAGAGUUCGGUGAUCUUCAGGGUUUGCUAUUUAUGUUCUCUGUUUGCCAUGUUAUCAUAAACAUUCAGGAGGGGUCGCGCUUUGAUACUCGGCUUUUGAAGAAAUUUCGGGUUUUGCAAGCUUCGAAACAAGCUUUAGCCCCAUUUGUUAGGUCGCAGACAGUUUUACCUUUGACAUCAAGACUUCAUUCAUCGUCAAAUAAUUUUUCACAACUACACUCAGCUUCGUCGAGAGGUGGGGGCAUUGUAAGUCGCAGUGGUUCAUCGGUGUCUCUCAAGUCUGGUGGAGGCUCCUACACUUCUCUGUUCCCUGGACAGUGUAAUCCUGUUACAUUGUUCGUAUUUUUGGAUGAUUUCUCAGAUAUGUUGAAGUCCAGUUCUAAUGUAGAGGAUUCAACAACCACUUCAUCUGCUAAUGAUCAGUCUGUGAACACAGGAAAGCUUACUAGGUCAGAGUUACCGACGAAAAAUUCUGGUUCUGUAGUUGUUUUAUCUCGCCCAGGAAGUAAAUCUGAAGGGGGGUUGAGGAAAAAAUUACAAUCAUCUCUCGAAGCACAAGUUAGGUUUUUGAUCAAGAAAUGUAGAACGCUCACAGGUUCGGAUAACAAUCAUGUCGGUUCAAGAAGUGGGAGCAUUUCGAGUUAUGCACCGUUAUUUUCGCUGGAUGCAUCAAAGGCUGUUAUUCUCUUAGACCGAUCAAAUAAGAAAGGAGAGGCUUUGGAGUUUGCCUCUUCUCUUGUUGAUGAUGUUUUGAAUGGAAAGGCUAAUUCAGACUCUCUGUUGCUUGAAAACAAUUGCCAGAUGUCUACCAAAGAAGAUGUGCUAUGUGUGAAAGAGUUCAUCUACAGGUGCUCUGAUAUUUUAAGAGGUAAAGGAGGAUUGGCUGCUAAUUCAGGUAGUGCUGGCGUCGGAAUGGUCGCAGUUGCAGCAGCAGCAGCUGCUGCCUCAACUGGAUCCAGAAAAACGUAUAGUGCACCACAGCUGCCACAAUUGGAUGAAUGGCUCUCUUGCGGUCAUCAAAUUUUAGAUGGAAUUAUAACUGCGAAAAUUGUGUCUACUAAUGAAAUUGACCAACGCAAGAAGAAAUCUCGUGAAAGAAACAUGUCCCCUGUGAAAAAUGAAGCAAGGUCAUCUAAGGGCCCAGAAACUUUGGAUAUUGCUGUCUCUUUGUUAGGAAGUGGAAAAGGUCUGAAUUUGAAGUUUUCAUCCUUAUGGUGUGAAAGAGCCUUUCCGGCUGCUAAAGACGUGUAUUUAAAAGAUCUCCCCUCAUGUUAUCCUACGUUAGUGCAUGAAGAACACCUACAAAAGGCUUUAUAUACUUUCCGCUCAAUGGUCAGAGGACCAUCAGUGCAGAUUUUCACAAAGAGGUUACAGGAUGAGUGCAUAUCGAUAUGGGAAUCCGGGAGGCAGCUUUGUGAUGCUACCAGUUUAACCGGUAAACCAUGUGUGCACCAGAGGCACAAUGUGGAGGAGCAAUUUCUCCCUGGGGCGGAAAUCAUGUCACAUUCCAGUGGUUAUGUUUUUCUUCACGCAUGUGCUUGUGGCCGUUCACGGAAAUUACGUUGUGAUCCUUUUGAUUUUGACUCGGCAAAUAUUUCUUUUAACUGCUUUCCAGAUUGUGACAAACUUCUUCCUAGUGUUAAGCUUCCUGAAAUAGCUCAUGCAGGGCCUAUAAUAUCAUCUUCAUGGAGUCUAGUUCGAGUUGGUGGUUCGAGAUACUAUGAACCCUCAAAAGGUUUACUUCAAAGUGGGUUUUCUGCAAUCCAGAAGUUCCUUUUAAAAUUGGUACUCUCUUCGCAGAAAGAUGAUGCUCCAAAUGAUUUGCUGGUUGGGGAAUCGGAGAAAGCUUGUAUAUCUAGGGCAAAUGUAACUAUGGCUAAGACUAUCAGAACUAACAUUGAUUCUGCACCGGUUACCUUGGCCACAGUGACACGUGGAGAAUCUGUUGGUAAUGGUAGUAUUGGUGACAAGAAAAUUAGUUUUGGUAGAGGCCUUCCCAAUUUACUAAUGAGAAAGCCUUUCUCCGAGGUUGUUGCUGGAUCAAAGAGUACAGAUUUGUUAUUUCCUCCCCUUCAACCGAGCAGGCAGCCUCCUCCGGCCUUAGAAAAGGUUGUCAAGCAAAAGGUUUGGAAUGGUCUGAGUGAAGAGAGCGUUCAGGAUGCUUGUAAUCAAGAAUGUCAAGAGUUUAAGGACAUUUCUCGUGAUCAGGAAACCUUAGGCAUGUCUAGAGGUAUAUCUGCGACAGGCAAUGACCUUCCGUUGCAAAAUGGUAGUAAUCCUGUGCCAGUAAACAUGAAAGUUGCUGAGAAGGUUACGUCAAGCCCCGUGCAGAAACCUCUGACUGCUUACAUAGGGUUUGAGCACGAGUGCCCCAGUGGUCAUCGCUUUUUAUUGAAUACAGAGCAUCUUGCUAAGCUUGGCCCUUACUCUGUCCCUGAAGAAUAUUUUGAUCCUAAUUCUGCAGAAAGUUCAAAAAUUAAGACUGACACUUCAAAGCUGCAGAAAAAUAUUGUUUAUGGUAAAGGACGCCGAAAGACAAAUAGGAUGGCUUCUGGAGUGAAUAGGAUGAAAAACAUGGACAGGUCAAACCAAGUGGUCUCAAAAGAUAAUAUUUUUCCUGGAAAAAAAGGGAAUAGAAAUUCAGCUGAUAGUGAACCCAUCAAUCAACAUAUACAUAACCUUGGGGCCAAUAACCAAGAUAAUAACGCUGAAGACUUUGGGGUAGCUUUUUCUAUGCUGAAUAGAAACUUGCCGAUAUUUAUGAAUUGUCCACAUUGCUCAGCUGCUUUUGGAAAGAAAGAUUCUUCAGAUAUCAAGUAUGCGGGUACAAUAUCGCAGCUUCAAAGGAUCUUUCUGGUUACGCCUCAGUUUCCAGUAGUGUUGGCAACUUGUCCAGUGAUAAAGUUUGAGGAGUCAUGUAUACCUCCCUCCAUCAUUGGCCGUGAACAGAAGUUGCAGUUCAGCCUUGGAUGUCCAGUGAUUUUACCACCUGAUAGUUUUCUCUCUCUAAGAUUGCCAUUUGUGUACGGUGUGCAACUUGAAGAUGGAACACAACUUCCUCUUAUGCCGUCUGCACAAGAACCUGAGAAAACUGCCUGGAUUGUCAAGGGCACGGUGCUUCAGUUUCUAACAAAAGAGAACGAUCUCGGUGAAAAACUCCAGACGUGAUGUGAAUUUGUCUACGCCUUUCAAAUUAUCAUCACAGCGAUGCUUCUCCCAUGCUGUGCACCGAGCAUGCUCCUCUGAACCAGAAACUCUCGGUAAGUUAUUAUCUGAUGGGGAAUGAGAUUCCACUUAUUUCGGUAUCUGCACGCAGUAUCAUGAUUCUUCAGUUGCCUAUAAGAUGCUUUUGAAGUCGGGCUUAAAAAGUUGAAGCAUAGAGUGAACAGAUAGGUGAUAAGGGUCACUAGCCACGUUUCAGAUAGCUUGGAGAGCAGAGGAGACAGUGCAAACCUCAGCCAUGAUUGUUGAAACAAGUUUCUGGGAUUGGGACAUCUGAUGACUGUUUAUAAUCCAAAUAAAUGUGCUUUUGAAGUUUCCUAUCUUCUGUGUGAACAAAGCUGUUUUCAUAGAAAGACAGUCUUCUUAUUUAAAGAAAUUUCUUUUUCUGGUAGAUUCUUAGUUGACUUCUUCUAUGGUUUAACUUGUAAGAAGCUGAAGACAUAUACUAUUUAUAGUGGAGAAACAACUCAAAAACUGUCUAAAACUACA